UCUAAAAAUUUGCUAUAAUCACAAAGCGUCGACGUUGCCGCGCGAGGCGAACGGAACGACUCCGGCCUUCUCUUGGCUCCCCUGCCGGAUCCCUCCGCUCUAAGUCCACCACCAACGUCGCACCCGCAUCCGAUGCCGCGUUCAGCUACCCCUCGAAGGAUAAUCGCGAGUUUGGGGGGCUCAUCUUCGCUCCUCCGCCGCCGUCAUCAUCAGCCCAUACGACGAGAACCGCGGGUGUGGAAACCGUCCUCUCCGCUGGGUGGCCGCUACCGCUGUUUCCGGUCCACCUCCAAUAUCCGUCCCGCCAACGCGCCUUCAAGGAGAACCGCGAGGACUACCCCACCCCUUUGAGGAAUCCGGAAAUCCCCGCGCAAACGCCUCCGCGGUCAUCCACCGCCCCACCGGCCACGGGGAGAGGAUCGAAAGAUGGCGGGACAUCGGCGUGGGCGCGAUCCCCAGGCCGAUCGCCUCCGCCCUCCGCAUCCUCCUCCGGCGGAAGAAAGGCCAGCUACGGAUUCUUGGAGGGAUCGCUUCGGUGCAGGACGGAGCCCUCUUCGGUGGAAGAAGAUAAGCACCAGCUAAGGAUGCAGAAUUCGUGGUUGCUACUGUGGCGGUUCACCAACGUCCGGGGCGUGGCGGACGCACAGGUGACCCUGAAACUGUGGGAUACAUCGAUUGUUGGACUCAAUCAUCAUCACAUUUGAAGAAACCAAAAUUCAAUUUGCUUCCUGCUGAUAUAAAUUGACUUCAAAGAUGACAUACACAAACAAAAUAUGUAGACAAUCAUGCUAGAAUUAAUCAAUAAACUUAGGUCAUUUGGUUUAGACCUAUUUCUCUUAACAAUUAGGGCAUAUAGUACAUGGAAUUGUAAUUUGAUCUAUGAUGGCAGAUGCAUCAUCCUGAUUGUUUUAGGAACUUUCUAAAUGAUUAUAAGGAUUAGCUACUUUAUCCGGAGAUAAAUGAAACCAAUAACUAGUUGUAACAAUUUGCUCUCUUCAUUUGUAAGGAAGAAGAAAAAAGAGCAAUCUGUUGUUCUAUUUUCAGAAAAAACUAUGAACUAAGGAAUCUGGUUGCAAUGAAGCGAAUCCUGAUUCGUUUGGAUGCUUGGCUCCCAGGUUCAACUGCUAUGUCAAUGGGAACCACAUGCCAAGAGACACUUUGAAGCCGUGGCCACAUUAGGGAGGUUUCUGGGAGUUGUCUAUCUCUUGCUUCCCUUGGUUGAAGGAGCCAGGGUUCACAUCCGCUCUAAUCUAAUUGACAGCACAUUUUUUCCCAUGAAAUCUCACUUAAAAACAAUUACCUGGUUGAAUUGAGAGGACCAGAACUGUCAGGAUUUAUUUCUAAAAGCUAAUCUCUUACCUCUGUGUAUUGCAUUUUUGCUCAAAUUUCAGAUGCUUGUAAGUUUUAGGUGGAUAGAUAGAAAUGCUCAUGGAUUGUUACCACAACGUUCUUAGUUUUCAGAGAAACUGAGUUUCCAUUAUAUUCCUUCUGUAGUGGUUCCACUAAUUGUUCUUGAUUAACAUUCCACCGGGAAAAAUCUAUGCCAUAAAUGUAUUGCAAGCGUUCCAUGGUCAAACUUACUCUGUUCUAUUCUUCCAGCUGUUUAACUAAAUUCUGUUUGUGUACCUAACUUGCUACAAUUCAUGGAUAUAUGUGAGUUGCAUUGAACAUCUUGAAAGGCAUUGCGGAUAUAGAUGGAAGCUCUGCUCCAUGGUAUGAUUUUUUCAUUUAGAUUUACUGUUGAUGUGGGAAAUAGUCAUUUGAUUAAAUGUCAGCUCGUGCUGUAAAUUAUCAAGUCUUGCAACCCUUCAUUGCAACCUAGUAAAUUAUGCUGGCUAUGGCUACCCUCAAGUAAGCAUGCAAGUAUUUGGCAUUAUACACCUCAAAAGAUCAGCUAUUGGUACCAAUUGCACUAAGGGCCUAUCGAUAUUGUCUUGUAUUUUUCAUGACAGUAAGUGAGAAAAACACUCUUUUUUUUUUUGGCAUUUUGAAAAUAGUAACAAGUUUGGCAUGGGAAACUUGCAAGUAAAUGAUUCUGUAACCAGUCCUACUAUUGUUGUUGUUUCUUAAGAUGCUAACUGGGGCCUGAUCAAUGUUUCUCUUGCACCAUGUUAAAUACAUAGCUGGCUCAUGACCUGCAUGCCUUUCCUCAAAUACUUGUCAUCCAUUAGAUUUCAUGUUUUGCUUUGUCAUCAAGGUUUUUUUUAAUAUUCAGAAUUGAUGUUAUUAUUGGCUUUUAUUUUCUCUAUUUUUGUUACUUCAUUAAACAGCAGAGAACAUACUCAAUGAGUUGUUGAAGACAACACUUUUGGAAAUAGAAGGGAUUAAGUAAUUGAUGCAAAUAUUUGAAAGAAUCCCAAUAUAACAGGCUAGUUGGCAUAUAUAUAAUGGUUGUAAGUAGUGUUGUAUUAAUGUUGUCAUCUUGAUUGCUUAGGUAUUGUUGUUACCCUUUGUGAGGUUAUUGUUGCUUGUGGUGCUAAUUCGUUAUCAUGUUCAAGAUAAAAGCAAAUAAUGAGAGAGAGCUCAUUCCAUAAGCAUGAAAUCUGAUCUCCAAAGCCAUGGCAUUAACAAAACGAAGCAGCCUGUGUAUGAAUUGUGAGCCCCAGCGACAGUGUUCUGUGUCCAGACAACCGAGCUGCACGGCUGCACUUGUCACAGUACUGGGAGCAAAUAUGUCACCCUAAUUACUGGGAAGAAACAAGCAAAUUGUCUACUUUUCUUCUAGUAUUUGAAGAACUCCUUUUGUAGAUGAGCUACUAACAGAUCUAUUUUUUGGCAGAUGAACGAAGCAAGCGUUAAGAGGACGACUGAUUCAAACUAUGACAGAGGAUUGCCGUGAGUCUUCCGCCAUGAGUUGGCAUAAAAACGAAUGCACUCAGACCAUUACAAGUAGUUGCACAUUGCUCUCAUGAAAUCACAUAUUAGACCAGGUGGUGGGAUUAUAGUGCGAGCAUCGAGAUCAUAUUAAAGGUCUCCUCGCUGGUCCGCGGCGCCCCCCCGAGGCGUGCGGCAUCGCCGCCGGCGACGGCUCUCUCAUGGAGCAACCGGAGGGCCCGCUCCCACCUCCCGCGUCCCCCCUGCGACGCGGCGGCCUCGUUGCGGCAGAUGCGGGCGAGGCGGAAGACGAAGAGGCGGAGGCCGAGGAUAAGGUCGGCGGCGCCGGAGGAAGGGAGGCAGGUGGCGGCGAAGGGGAGCUUGAGGGCGAAGGGGCAGAGGAGGGAGAGGAGGAGCUUCCAGUGGCCGUGGCCGCCCCCUGCGAGUAACUGCAGCUUGCCUAGUACUACCAUGUGGAAAACCAUCGCUGCACUCUGCAGCAGCAGUGCCCGUCGCGCUCUCUGCGUGCUGCCUUGGUUGGCCACGCUACCGAAGGACGCAGCGGAUGCUUGCGUCUCGAUGUGGGACUACCAUGAUGCCGCCUGCUACUGCUAGUGGCGAACGCAUAAGAUGCCCUUUUUCCAACAUUGCCGCACCAUCACCCGGUUCAACAUCCCGGUCCAUGCGGGAUGCUUUAAUCAUUCUAUGAAGCAUGGGUCCGGUUCAAACUCUCUGCUGUCCCUUGCGGUGGACGAGUGCUUCCGGCCACGUCAUCUUUUCCACCAUUCGCCGUUCUACACGUCAUUGACCGAGGCGGGCCCAGCCGUUUGGCUUUCUGCAAGCUGACAUCUGGUCCGCGACAUUGUCCGACGCGCGGAAACGCUCAUAUACGUCCAAAACAAGAUAUGAAGGUGACGCGGUCAUCUCUACUUAGGAAGUCCAAUGAUCGUGUAGAACAACUCCUCGUCCCAUCCAGAAUGUGACAUCUCUCCUUGACUCGAAGUGAGUUAUACUCCCUCGUUGCUCUAUGCUCUUAGGGCAUGACGCUCGUGGAAUCCUUGGUACAUCUGUCUCGUUCCUUUCUUACUUGGUUUUGAUGUGGAGAGAUCUACUAGCAAUCAAUGCAAGAUCAACACCAUUAAAUGA